rnacentral:rRNA from 1 species
CCUACGGGCGGCAGCAGUGAGGAAUAUUGGUCAAUGGACGAGAGUCUGAACCAGCCAAGUAGCGUGAAGGCUGACUGCCCUACGGGUUGUAAACUUCUUUUAUAAAGGAAUAAAGCGAGGCACGUGUGCCUUUUUGUAUGUACUUUAUGAAUAAGGAUAGGCUAACUCCGUGACAGCAGCCUCGGUAAUACGGAGGAUCCGAGCGUUAUCCGGAUUUACUGGGUUUAAAGGGAGGGUAGACGGGUGUGUAAGGCUGAAGUGAAAGCUCGUGGCUCAACCGCGGAACUGCUUUGGAAACUGUAUAGCUUGAGUACUGGAGAGGCAGGCGGAAUUCGUGGUGUAGCGGUGAAAUGCAUAGAUAUUAGGAAGAACACCGAUGGCGAAGGCGGCCUGCUGGACAGACACUGACGUUGAUGCUCGAAAGCGUGGGGAGCAAACAGGAUUAGAUACCCGGGUAGUC